GACGAACGCUGGCGGCGUGCUUAACACAUGCAAGUCGAGCGGUAAGGCCCUUCGGGGUACGACGAGCGGCGAACGGGUGAGUAACACGUGGGUGACCUGCCUCUAGCUCUGGGAUAAGGCCUGGGAAACUGGGUCUAAUACCGGGUAUGACUCCACGGCGCAUGGUUGUAGGGGUGGAAAGCCUUGUGUGGCUAGAGAUGGGCCCGCGGCCUAUCAGCUUGUUGGUGGGGUGAUGGCCUACCAAGGCGACG
rnacentral:rRNA from 1 species